rnacentral:misc_RNA from 1 species
UCUCCUUAGGUGAACCUGCGGAGGUAUCAUUAAGAAUUGAACCGCAGUGUCGGGCACUGUUGCCCAUUCUAACCCUUUGUGAACUACAACUCUGUUGCUUCGGGGGCGACCCCGCCGUUUCGGCGGUGGCGCUCCCGGUGGCCAAUUAUUAAACUCUGCAUCUCUUGCGUCGGAGUUAAAGUAAAUUAAACAAAACUUUCAACAACGGAUCUCUUGGUUCCAGCAUCGAUGAAGAACGCAGC